rnacentral:lncRNA from 1 species
AAGAAGCAUCACCCAGCAUGGUGGAAGGGAUCAGUGUCUGGAGACAAAAACAGGGCUCAGGAAAAUCAGGAGGCAUGGUGGGGAUUGCUGUGGGCGAGAGAGGGGGAGAGGAUCUACAAAGGGCCCUGUGACCACCUGAGGACUUUUCCUCUGCAUGAGGGGAGCCACAGCCAGGUUCAGAGCAGGAGGAUUGGCCCUAAGUGCUAUGAAGUGGGCAGGACAUAGGGAUGGAGGCAGGAGUCCAGCCUACGUUGAACUUGCCCUUGGCCCUGGGCAGAAAGACAACAUGUCCUGUAUCAUAGACUUUGGAGUGCUCCCACUGAGGGCCUGCUUGAAGAGCUUCCCAGCUGGGGUGUAGAAGAAGCCCUAACCCUCUCCAAG